UGGGGAAUAUUGGGCAAUGGUCGCAAGCCUGACCCAGCAACGCCGCGUGAGGGAAGAAUGUCUUCGGAUUGUAAACCUCUGUCCUUGGGGACGAAAAAAAUGACGGUACCCAAGGAGGAAGCUCCGGCUAACUACGUGCCAGCAGCCGCGGUAAUACGUAGGGAGCAAGCGUUGUCCGGAAUUACUGGGCGUAAAGGGUGCGUAGGCGGCAUGGCAAGUCAGAUGUGAAAUCCCCGGGCUUAACUCGGGGGGUGCAUUUGAAACUGCCAAGCUUGAGUGCAGGAGAGGAAAGCGGAAUUCCUAGUGUAGCGGUGAAAUGCGUAGAUAUUAGGAGGAACACCAGUGGCGAAGGCGGCUUUCUGGACUGUAACUGACGCUGAGGCACGAAAGCGUGGGGAGCAAACA
rnacentral:rRNA from 1 species